GACUGGAUUUGACAGCGAGGUGAAGAGGUGUGCAAGCAUGCAGUGCGUUGGUAGCGGUCACUCUAAACGCAACUACCGGAAAUUUAUUUGGCGAAAACAAUUACGCUCUCGCAGCUUAGUCUGAAGUACAGUAGGACUGCUUUAUUCCGCGCCCAGGGUGCGGAACGGGACGUCGCCCGGUCGCUCUUUCUCCGAAGCGUAUCGAUAUGGCGGCGCAGCAAAUCGGGGAUAGCUUGAGGCGGCCCCGCGCCUCGGGUGAAAAUCUUUAGGGGAUAUGCCCUGCUUUUGGCGGCCAGGCUCCGGCUGCGGGACAGACAAUCUCAGCUUGGCUAAGCAUGUAGAAACCACAUGGCUUCCUUGUUUGGACGGGAGUUCGAUUCUCCCCUGGUCCACU
rnacentral:tmRNA from 1 species